UAUAGGGGGUGCAAACGUUGCUCGGAAUCAUUGGGCGUAAAGCGCACGUAGGCGGUCUGUUAUGUCGGAUGUGAAAGCCCUCGGCUCAACUGAGGAAGUGCAUCCGAAACUGGCGAGCUUGAGUGUCGGAGAGGAUGGCGGAAUACCCCAAGUAGAGGUGAAAUUCGUAGAUAUGGGGUGGAACACCGGUGGCGAAGGCGGCCAUCUGGACGACAACUGACGCUGAGACGCGAAAGCGUGGGGAGCAAACAGG
rnacentral:rRNA from 1 species